GACGUAGGGCGCGAGCGUUUGUCCGGAUUUAUUGGGCGUAAAGAGCUCGUAGGCGGCUUGUUGCGUCGACUGUGAAAACCCGCGGCUUAACCGCGGGCUUGCAGUUGAUACGGGCAGGCUAGAGUUCGGUAGGGGAGACUGGAAUUCCUGGUGUAGCGGUGAAAUGCGCAGAUAUCAGGAGGAACACCGGUGGUGUAGACGGCUCUCUGGACCGUAACUGACGCUGAGGCACGAAAGCGUGGGUAGCAAACAGG
rnacentral:rRNA from 1 species